GGGGUUGCAAUGGUUUCGACGGGGGUGUGGAUUCGUAAAUAGCGGGCGAAGGUGCAGGAACUUCUAAAACACUGCAAACUUAUAAAUUAAAGAACAACGAUAACGUAGUUCUGGCAGCCGCUUAAGGCUGUCCGUCCUCCCCGGAAGGUCCACGAGCCGGGCUAGGGCGUCGAUUAGUGGAGAACGUGAGUGCUAAGUAGCUUUGUAGGCACCACGCAUAAAAAGCUACCGAGCUGCAUGUUGCGUGACGGUUUGCACUGCGGCAAGGGAAGGGUCUGAUUCUAAAGUCCGCGUGGAGAAUGCGCAGCAUUCUCUAUACGGCUUACGAAGUAAGACGUUAUGGCCGUCUGCGCCCGGAGAGUUUUACGUUAAAAUGCUUUCGGACGGGGGUUCAAUUCCCCCCAACUCCACCA
rnacentral:tmRNA from 1 species